rnacentral:misc_RNA from 1 species
UCGAUCACAUUUGUAGCUCCUGGAAAUCUUUCCUGAUUACAGCUUUACAUUUCUCUUAUUGGCUGGAUAUGCACUGCUACAGUGACAGCUUCUCAACAUUCAAACUGAACACAAACACUGACGGUUGUCUCUGCCAGCUGCUUGUCAUUUAUCUACACAUAUAGGCUAUAAAUAGGACGAUCUAAGUAAUUGGAUUUUUCCGAAAAGGGAGACGAAAUUGUCUUUCCUGUCUACGGGCUGUUCACUGUUCAAGAUAACUACAGCAGUUCAUUUUAUUUGAAAGCAAAGGACAACUGAAAAAAAUGUUGCCUCUGAAUUUGUAGAAAUAGGAGUUGUGAAGUGUUCAAUACACGCAUUCAGGGCCAUGUGACAGACGCGGCUUCCGGCAAAGUUCGUCCUCUUCAUGGAAGAUCACUGAUGGCAAGGUCUGAACAUUCACUUCUUGAAAAACAAAGAGAGACGAUUGACACUCACUGACUGGAAGUUGCUGGAGCUGCUAAUAUGGUCAAGCGGAAGAAGGGGGCGGGAGGUGGUGGAGAAGAUUCUGGCGGUGGUGGCCGGGUCAAAGUUUAUCUCCAUGCCGUGACUAAUGAUGAGGCUGCUCGUCUAACAGACAAUGGAAACACACGCCCCCUUCAAGAAGUCAAAAAGCAGUCACGUGCUUCUGAAGUACAGUUCUAUCAAAAUCAAUCUGUAACGGACAUGAAGAUUAUCAUCAUCCGGGGCACUCCACAACAAAUCGAGAAUGCUGUCAGCCUCAUCAAUCAGAAAACUGGUUCUAAGGAAACCAUUUCAGAUCAAGCACAGAAAUUCUGGCUCCAGUGGGUUCAGGAAGCCUUCCCUGAUCUCGACUCUCGCGCCUACUUCCUGCCUCCUGUCUACUUCAACCGCGUGCCCAUGACCCCAGGGUCAGUUGGUGGUCAGGAUGUUCUGAUCCUUAACACACAACACGGACAGUCUAGUAAGUCAAACCAGCCAACACCACAUGAAGGAGUCGGAGGGUCCAGCGAGCAGGAACUGCCUAGACAUGCAUGUGUGGACAUUCAGCCAAGUCCACCUGAUGACGAAUAUCAGGACACCCAACCUACUUUACCUGGACAAACCAGUCAAUGUAUCCAACCAACACCAGCUGAAGAGUCUCGCAUUUCCAGCCACAGAACACCACCUGGACACUUCAGCCAGGUUAGCCAGCUGGCACCAGAUCACAAGGCUGGGUGUUCAAACUAUAUGGCACCACAAGAACAGGCCGGUAACCACAUCCUAGAGGCUUCACCAAGACAGUGCAUUCAACUGACACUACCUGGAGAAGUCAGUCACUACAAUGAGAAAUCGAAUAAACAUAACGAUCAAUUCAUUCAGACACCUACUGGACAGGAUCAUCAAUACAUUCAAACGUCACAACCUAAACAGACAGGUCAGUACAAUCAGCUGACACAACCUGGAAAAACAGAUCAGCACAUUCAAUCGGGCCAACCUGUACAUACCAGUCAGUACGAGCAGACAAAAUCAAAUAAACAAGGCGGUCAAUAUCUCCAGAGUUAUCCAUCUGGAAUGACUGGUCAGUUUAGCCAGACAAUGAAAUCAGUACAAUAUAUUCAUGACAUACAGGAGACAUCACUCGGACUAACAAGUCAAUACAAGCCGACAUUACUUGGACAGGGUCAGUACAACAAUGUACCUCAUGCGCACGCCUAUCAGUAUAGCCAGACGACAUCAAUUGGACAAGCAGGUCAGUACAUGCAUCGGACACCACGUGGGGAGACCUAUCAACAUAGCCAGACGAUACAAUGUGGACUGACAUCUCAGUAUAUGCUGACGACACCACCAAGACCGGCAGACCAGGAUGUUCUGUCGCCACCUGGACUGACCGGUGACUACAUCCAGACACCACCUGAACCAACAGGUCACGACAUCCAGACAAAAGCACAUGGACAAUCAGGUGAAUGCAUCUUUCCGACUCCACAUGAGCAGACAUCUCAGCGCAUUGAACUUGAAGCUGCUUCUUCCGAUGUCGUUCAGCCUUCAGCCCAUCGGCCUGCUAAAGUUCUAGACAGUGACGUCAGAGAUGAUGAAGCCAAGCAACGAGUUCUCGUCUGCCUGCAGGAAUUUUCUGAACGGAAUAAAGAAGUUUUGUUUGGGAUGAGUAAGCUUGCCUUCGGGGAUUAUCUCGGGGAACCUGUUUACGCUGCUGCGGCUGCUCAGCUCCCUCCACGCGCCAACCUUCCUUCUGCUCUGCCUCGGAACUGGAAACAGGGAGACUUUGAUGUGCUUCUUAUUCACCGACAUUACGGAUUCGUGGUGUGCAAGGUGAGAGCUUUUGGUGACAUUACUCAGGCACUGAACAUGUCACAGCAGGAUAUAGAAAAUAACAUUAGAGAGAAACUGAGAGACGCCGUGUCACAGCUGGACAAGGCGGAGGCCAUGUUGUCUCACCUGGUGUCCGACAUCGCUUCCGGUCUGCGCAUCACUAAGACCAUCGCUUUCCCCAACCUCACGGCUAGUCAGGUGCAACAGGCCAUCUGUGAAGACAUCCCUCUGACUGAGGACCUGUGUCGGUGUCUGGGAACAUCAGACCCCGCCGACAUCACUGGUCUGUGUCUGUGCUGUGAUCAGUUGUCUGACCCCAAGACCCCGUGUGACGUCAGUAGUCACGUGCUGAGGGAACUCGGACACUGGUGGCAGCGACGUGUGGCUGUGGCUGGACCUGACAGUCACAUGACUGAUGUGGUCUACAAGAUGUUAGUAGCGAGGAAACACAUCAAGACCUUCUGUGAGAAGUUGCUGGCACAGGUUCCUCGUCUUCAUCUGUGGGCGGCAAGUUGUUACAAUAAGAACUGCCCCCCCAGCUGGCAAGUGGAACAUUUAACCAGACCUCUCCGCUCUCCACCCGCCGUCGUCAGGGAAAUCAAGAAAGAUUCAGUUAUCAUUAAGGGUGUUAGUAUUCAGAAAUACAGUGAGCGAGGUGUGCCCGACCACACAGACGGCCCGCCAGUCACACGACUGUAUCACCGAGGUCAGGAUCACUCAGUGUACUGGCCAGAUGACUGUAUCACGUGCGGUCGUGAGGUGGCCAAGUUCCUACACAGUCUCCGUGUUGGUGUUACAGAGAAUAAUGAGCUGACAACAGUAAACACCGUCACUUCAACAACUGGCGGCACAACACCCUGUCUACAGUGGAGAGACGUGCUGGUGUUGAACUGGUAUAUCGUUUUUGAUCAGUCGGGUGUUGUCACAGGACUGCGAGAAGCGGGUAUCCCAGUGCGGGUGAUGAAGGAUGAUGACAUCGAGGACGUGGCCACGGCCCGCAGUGACGUGGUGUGGGUGGCGGAUGGACAUCAUGUUCGUGGUCUGGAGAGAAAAGUCGUCGUGUGUUUGGUGUCCCAUUAUGGUUCAAGAUCUAAUGUUAGUCAUGCAUCUGGCGGCUUCCACUCCAUAUCCCGGUGUACAUCACAACUGGUGACUGUGGAGUAGACACUAGCUACCUGAACAUGCUUCACACUCCCUCACCUGUCACCUGUAGCAGUCUGAUGUCUGUCUCCAUUACACCAACAUCUAUAAUCAGUUGUAACAUUGUAACAUUCUGCUUUAGUGUGCGGGCUACUGUACUCUGCUAAACGACUAUAUGAACAGCUUGUAUCGUGGAAUUAGAUGCAUAUUCUCGAAAAUGAAGUACAAGCUACUUUUUUAAAUACAUAAAAUACAGAAAUACUAGAAUAGCAUUGUUGUGUUCUAUUAGCGAAAAAUUGUAAAUGAUUUUAGACAUGCUUUUUAAAUCAGAUAUUUACCGUUUACCUUUAAAUAGGUGAAUAUUGAUAAUGCUACAGUACCUUUUGUCAUGACAUAAAAUAUACCCUAGUAAAGAGACUUAGGAAAAUUAGACUACAUGAAUACAAGUACAUAAGACUAAUACAUCAACCAAUCAGACUGAAGUGCUAUGAUCAGCUCACGGUUCCAGUAAAUUCUACAGACUCAAUCCACCACUCUCGAGUCUGGCAUCAUGGCGAGGCGGGAAAUGUUGAGAUUCCAUUUGUGUAAUGAACGAUACAAAGAACCUACGGACAGCAGAGCCACCAAUCCACAGACAGUUUACAAUAUGCGCAUGUUUAAAAAUCUGCCAAUGAAAGUGUUGAUGCAUGUUCUAAUGGGAUGGCAAUACAGUACCCGAGUCUGUAUAAUGGUAUCUCUGUAUGCCACACCUGUCCGGUUCCCUUGUACCAGGUAGAUAGGAGUGAGGUAGGUCGUCCCCAUUCCAGCCCACACCAUGAUGGACCCACCCCUAUAAUCAUUACACUCCGCGACAGUUAGAGUGUGCUAACGGUCUCCAUGUCAUCUCCAGACGUGGAUUUGGCAAUUGUGGCAAAGGUCUGGCAAAGCGACAUUCAUGAGUGAAGAGGAGUGAGGUCCACUGUGUCCGUGUCCAUGUCACGUGGUGUGGUGUCCAUGCAAGACGAGCAGCGCGGUGAGCAGAUGUCAGAUCAUCCUUUCCACAUGAUGUUUUGGUCAUCGCCGGAUGGUUUGAAGAUAACAGAGGAAUAUGUUGUAGCUCAUGUAUUUUGGGUGACGACAGAAAACAUCGGGCUCUUUCUACAAGAACCUUUAGUUUACUAUUUAUUUUCGAUGGGGAGUGAACAACCAAGGUUGUCGUAGACAGGAGGCAGGAAGUAGGCGCGUGAGUCGAGCUCAGGGAAGGUGGCCUCAACCCACUGGAGCCAGAAUGUCUGUAAUCGUGCUGUGUUUGCCUGUAUCACACACAUUUAAAAUUUAUAUACGCAUUGUUUUCUGUAUUUUAUUCAUUUUUUAUGUAUUGUAUUUCGUUACUUUAUUUAGUCUACAAACACAGUUAAGCCCUAGGACUUUUUAUUUGCAAGACAUAUUCGUUAAACCGUUUCUAAUUCCGUUUUGAAGCAGUUUACAGUUCUUCGUUUAAAGUGGGGACAAGCAUGACUUCCAUGUCCACCUUUUCCACACACAUAUGCAGAUCACAGAGUGCAAAUAAACUAAAAUGAGCGAAUAUCGUAUUCAGGGGAUUCCGUUGUUUCCGGAAAAAUCCAAAGUUUACUAAAUUUGUGCUCCAUCGAUAACAGCUCGUGUAAAACAAGAAAGUGUGUAGUCACCACAUGGUGUUCAUCUCUGAUAGACAGUCCUUGUUGGUCAGUUGUUUGGUUUCUGGUGUUCGACGUAAGAUUGGUCAUGUGAUUUGUUUUCCUGUUAGUACCGACUACUCAGUGCUACUUUCUGCUAAUCACUGCUUCACUCACCUGAUCACCAAUCUUCUGGUCAAUGAGUUUUGCUGCCGCCUCGAUUUGUGUUUGAUGACCAUGAACGAUGAUAAUCCUUCUACCUGAUACAGGUGGGGGGGGUUGAUGAUCCAUGACCACGUCAGCUCCGGUCCUUUCUUUAAUUUCUCCCGCAUAUAGCCAUUUUUUGUACAUCGUUAUUACUAGAAAAUAUGUUUGUACGUUUCUUCAAGUUAUGCCCCUUACCUAUUUUCCUUUCUUUUUAUUUCUUAAUAAUAAACAUUCGACUCCUGAGAUAGCCGAGAAAGAUUCAGGUAAGGGUGCAUCAGAAAGAAAAAAAAACAGAAAGCAAAAAUAAAAAGAAAAUGGAAAGAACGAAAGAAAGAAAGAGAACCGCGUGUCAAUAAAGUGCCCGUACAAUACUGAA